rnacentral:rRNA from 1 species
GCCCUUUAGACUGGGAUAACAGAGGGAAACUUCUGAUAAUACUGGAUAAGUUAGUAUAUCGCAUGAUAUGCAAAUGAAAGCUACGGCACUAAAGGAGAGCUUUGCGUCCUAUUAGCUAGUUGGUAAGGUAAGAGCUUACCAAGGCGAUGAUAGGUAGCCGGCCUGAGAGGGUGGACGGCCACAAGGGGACUGAGAUACGGCCCUUACUCCUACGGAGGCAGCAGCA